UUUCUGCUUUGCCCGGUCUAAUAGUGGUUGUAUUUCCCAACUAAUAGUCUUUGAAGAGAGGACCCCCUUUACCAUUGUGCGGUAGUCAGAAUGUAUAAUUAUUUCUUUUUCAGUUCUAUUCUGGGCCAGCUUCAAGGAGAUAAACUUUAGAGUUUCAAUCAGAGCCAUUACCUCCGCUUGCUCGGCCGAUCUAACCUCCACAGAUUUAGUAAAACCAUCAAUAAUUCUUCGCAGAUUGUCCCUGCAAAUACAAGCUACAACUGCUGUGAAGGGGGAAAGUCGAGUUUGAGAUCCGGUAAAAGAGGCAUAUUCCUCCCUAUUCUGCUCUGAGGUCGAACUCUGUUCUUGGCUAACUUCAGAGUUUUCUUUUAGCUAAGUUGUUUUCCCCUUGUCUCCAUUGUCAGGCAUGCAAGGCACAGAGGUGAUUUCAAUUUCUUCCCACUCUACGGCAUCCACACCUAUUUCAAGAAUGCUGGACAGAUCCAGCGAAUAUUUGUUCUUUCUUUGUAUUUGGAAGAAACACUUGUCUUGCCAUCCCUGUUGGGUCACAACGCAGCUUCGUUUGGAGGGAGAUGUCGCUGCAAGGUGCCUAAGAUUCCACUAGUCUCUUCUCUGUUUAGAUCUGGGUUGCUUUGCUGAUUUCUUGCUUCUUCUCUUUCUUUCGACUUCAAAUCUGGCCUCACCCUUUGCUCUGCAUUGUAGCUGCUGUAUGAGUUUAGUUCUGUGUCAGAGGGGACAUUUUUUGGGUCUUGCUUUUUAUUUGUUGAUUGAUUAUUUCGUCUGGGCAACCCAUAGGGUAGAGAUAAGGCAUAUUUAUUGAUGUUUUCACCUUGCUUCUUCUUUGCAAUAGCUAGGCCCGUGGGUUUUUGAAUUACCUCAUAUACCAUUUUGUGUGGCCGUUCUAUCAUCACCCGUUCACCAACAUCCGAGUUAGUUAUUGUUGGCGAUAUGGCUGAGGCCUCUGGGUUGCAAGUAGAGCUAGCCAAUUGUAUGUUUCCAUGCAGGUGGAGCUGGCCUUCUUCAAUUUCCGUCCAUGAGACAUCAAGUGUUGGGGAGAAGGAGGUAUAGGAGUUGGGAAACGAGUCUUGAAAUUCUUCGCUUGUUGAUUUUGGUUCCAAGGUUGAUGCUGAAAGAUCUUCUAUACUAUACAAUGAGACCUCUUGAUUUGAUUUAAUUGUGAUAUUUCUGUGCAAGUAGGCCUGAAGGACUAUGUUGAUUUUGAGAACACCGGGCUUCGGGGGUUGCCAUUUGUUUUGUAAGUUGGCUUCUUUCUUCUGGUUUUUCGAUUUGGGAUUCCAAGUGGCAAAGCUGUCUUGUGAGGUGAUGGCUCUAAAAAGAGUGUGAUGGAAAUUGAGAGGACUUUUCCUGAAAAUAUGAUGAUUUUGACCCUUCCAUAUGCACCAAAGUACAUUCGCAAGUAGUUCAAAUUCUUGAGAUGUUCUAGAGCUUGUGUGCACUUUGUAUAACCAUUCAUCAAAGCGGGUCAAGCCUACUCGAUUCACUUCAAUUUGCAGGGAUGGCUCAGUCCAUAGCUGCGUGAUCCAAAGGCAUAGAAGAAAUGUGUGUUCUAUUGUCUCCGGUUCCAAACCACAUAAUGGAAAUAUAGGCGCAAGUACUAUUUUCCUUCUAUACAAGUUCUCCAUCGUAGGUAAAGCAUUUUGACAGGCACUCCAUAGAAAGAACUUUAUUUUGGGUUGUAUAGUCGCAUUCCAUAUUUGUUUCCAUAAUUCGGGGCUGACCUGGUAGGAUGUUGUUGGCAGUUGAUCUUGAAUAGCCAUUGUAUUCUUUCUAUGCAGCAAAUAUCCACUUUUCACCAUAUACCUUCCCGAUUUAUUACUCAACCAUAUCAAUUUAUCUUCCGUUGUUGGAAGUUCGAAAGGGGUAGCUAGAAUUUCCGUCAUUGUAUUAUGAUCAAACAUAGAUCGCAAUAAAUCUUCUUUCCACACAGCAUUUUCAAAGUCUAUCAACUCUACAACCUUGGAAGGUUCAUUUCUUGCCGCAGGUCCUCCGAUUACACCCAUUUUCAGCCACUUAUCUGUUUUGAUUGAGAUUUUCUGACCAUUUCCCACAGCCCACAUUACUUGAGGGGCGAUCACUUCUCUCCCAGCUAAUAGGCUUUGCCAUCCCCAAGAUGGGCGCGAUCCUUUUCCUGCUUGCCAAAAGGUACAAUUUGGGAAGUACAGGUCCUUCAUAAUUUGGCUUACUUGAUUGUUUGGGUGAUGAGAAAGGCGCCAAGCUUGUUUUCCUAACAUAGCCAUAUUGAAAGUGGAAAGAUCCUUGAAACCGAGACCUCCUUCCUUUUUUGUGAGCUUGAGAAGUUCCCAUUUUCUCCAAUGAAGACCCUUCGCUUUAUUAUUGUUUCUCCACUAGAAGUUAGCAAUCUUCUUUUCUAUAUCUCUGAUAAUAGAUAAUGGGAUUUUAAAAUGGACAUAGCAUACUGGGGUAUAGCUUGCACAACUGAUUUGAGAAGUGUUUCCUUACCCACUCUUGAUAACAAGUUUUCCUUCCAACUUUCUAGCUUCAUAUUUAUUUUAGUUAGAAUCCACGUGAACACUUCUUUUUUGGAUGCACCCCAGUCCGAAGGGAUUCCUAGAUAUUUCCCAGUUUUCAUAAUAAUUGGAACUCUCAGCUCAUACGCCAUAUUUCUCCGUGGUUGUUCUAGACAGCCCUUAGUAAAGAAUAUCCCUGAUUUAUUGCGGUUGACAGCUUGACCUGAUGCAUAACAAUACUGAUGCAGGAUAGACGCUAAGUUUUGACAUUCCAAGAUUGUACCAUGAAAGAAAAAAAUGGAGUCAUUUGCAAAUAAUAGAUGGGAAAGAGUGGGACAAUUUCUAUUCAACCUGAUACCACAGAUUGUACCUGUUUGUAUGGCUUGCUUUAACAUGUGGGAUAGGACAUUUGCCACAAUGAUGAAUAAAUAAGGGGAUAAUGGAUCACCUUGGCGAAUUCCCCGAGUUGGCUGGAAAUAAGGCAAGGAUACACCAUUAAUCUUGAUGUUGUAGGAGACAGUUGUAACACACUGCAUGACCAUUUUAACCCAUUCUUCACAAAACCCCAUCUUCAGCAGGCAUGCUUGAAGGAAAUCCCACUCUAUCCGAUCAUACGCCUUUUGCAUAUCAAGUUUGAGGACCGCCUGGAAGUGCUGCUGUCGAUCUCGAGUUCUUAGUCUGUAAAGGACUUCCUGGACAAUAAGGAUGUUAUCCUAUAUUUGCCGUCCUUCCACAAAUGCACUAUGUUCUAGUUCAAUUAGGGCUGGUAGUAGGGGUUUCAAUCUAUUUGUGAUGAUUUUGGAAAUGAUUUUGUAGGCAAAAUUGCACAGGCUUAGGUCUAAAUUGUUCUAUUUUUUCUGGGUUUUGGAUUUUAGGGAUAAGAGUGAUUUGUGUUUGGUUAAAGGCUGGGUUUAGGGAUCCGGUCUCGAAGAAGUGUUGAAUCUCCCGAUAGAUAUCUUCUCCAAUAUCUCGCCAGUGGUGUUGAAAAAAGAUGCCAUUUAACCCAUCCGGCCCUGGAGCUUUAUUAGGUCCCAAUUGGUAUGCAGCUUCUUUAAUUUCGUCCAUAGUAACAAGUGUAGUAAGCUUUUGAUUUAUAGUUACAUCCACCAAGUUGGGAAUAUAAUCAAGGAUGGGCUGAAAGUUCCGUUGUCCCCCCAGACGUAUAUAGGUUUUUGAAAAAGUUAACAGUCAUGUCCUGAAGUGCUUCUUGAUUGCGAAUCCACUCCUCCUGAUUGUUUAAUAACAUGGAAAUUCGAUUCCGGUUUCUCCGUUGAAUAGUUGUUGCAUGGAAAAUUUUGGUAUUUUUAUCUCCCCAUUGCAACAACUUAAUUCUUGAUCUCAUGCCCCAGAACAUCUCCUCUUGUCGCCAUAGGGAUUCGAUUUCUUGGUUAAUUUGUUGAAUUCUUUGCUGAUCAUAGUCACAUUCUUGGCUGUUCAUGAAGGUCAGAAGUUUCUUUUUCAACCUUUCUAUCCUUUUAUAUGCAUUGGGAUAUCUUCUUUUACUCCACACAGCAAGUUUUGUAGCUACUAACUUUAGUUUCUCAACCAUGUUUUUACCUUGGGAUUCUUCCCAAGUUCGUUUCACAAGGCUCGUACAAUCCUCAUCUUCAGCCCAGUACCGCUUCAUACCUAAAAUCUGUUUUUUGCAAUCUGUUUUAGGAUACAGGGACAACGAAAGAGGGCUGUGAUAAGAGCCUAUUGCUGGUAGCGCUAAAACCUCCGCAGCUGGAUAAGCUAUUCUCCACUCCAAGGUACAUAAGGCUCUAUCCAACCUUUUCUUGACAUUUUUCCCACCACCUCUUCGAUUUGUCCAUGUAAAUGCGCAUCCUUUACUUUCUAGAUCGAUAAAAGAACAUGCAUGUAGGAAAUCUCUGAAAGCCGUAAGACGAUAGUUUUCUGACAACCUCUUUCCCACUUUUUCCCAAUGAUACAAAAUUUCAUUAAAGUCGCCAAUACACAGCCAAUGUAGAUGAUUGAAGAUGCUUAGUCGUUGUAUUUCUUCCCAUAAUAAUAUUCUAGCUUUAAAACAAGUUGGAGCAUACACGAAAGUGAUUCUCAUUAACUGCUUAUUUUCUAAAGUUGACAUUGCACAUUGAUAAAGUUUCUGGAAGAAGAAUCCACAACUAUGGUAACCGUUUCAUCCCAAAAGAUUGCCAAACCCUCUGAAAAACCAUCUGGAUUCUCCAAAAAAACAAUUUUGAAACUUCAAUCUACAACGCCAUUUUUGCACCAGUGGCUCUCUAUUUUUGGUUUUCAUUAAACAAAUAAUAUUAGGUCGUUCUUGAGACACUAGGGCUCUUAAAGCUCAAAUUGUCAAGAAUGAGCCCAACCCCUGACAAUUCUAACUUAUUAUUUUCAUGGCUGACCUGGUGGCUUAUUCAGGCUAGCCACCAAAGUCUAGUGCAUUGAUUUCUCCUCUUCCGAGAUAGGAAUGUCCACAAGCUGCAAUUUAUCAGUAGAAGGUGCCUUUGACGAUUGAGCACCAUACGGGCAGAAUCUCUUUCUUUUUUUCGAAGUAGGUAGUUUAGUACUUUUAAUUUUACCCUUGUUUCGGCUUCUUUCAUUUGCUGGCUGGUAUUCUUCCUCAAACUCUUUUUCUUUUAGCUGUUCAGUGUAAAGAAACAUCAUAGAUUCGUCAUCUAAACAGCUACUUCCUCUUUUCUGUGGACCUUUUUCCUCCCUUAUGGUAAUAGCAAGAGAAUGGUGAAGAGGAUCUACUUGUUGUUUCAAAGCCUCCUCCGAAGAAAUUUGACUUCUAAUAGGUGGGUUAGGCUGCUCUGUUGUUCUAAUUGCUUGCUGAUUUUCUUGUAUUUCUGCAGCAAGGGGGGAUUCCGGUACCACUUCAGGAUCUUGAAGGAGCUCAACAUGUUUUCCAUAAAAUAUUUUACCAUAAGGGCUGAUAUCCCUGACUUCGGCACGUAACCAGCUACCAAAAUUACCUAGUAAAUCCUCUUCCAGCCUUGUAAAGUCAUAUGGAAUUUCUUUGCACGCUGUAGCAUAAUGUCCAAUUCUUCCACAAGAAAAGCAGAAGUGUGGGAGCCUCUCAUAUUUGAAUUCUAUCCAUAAUUUUUUGCUGCCCAAACUGAGAACGACACAUGUUUUAAGGGGGGGAGCCCAAAUGAAGAUUAACUCGGGCUUUACCAAAUUUAUACAUACUAUUUCCUUUAGCUUCCAACUUCACAUCUAUUGCCUCGCCGAUUUUGGCAGCUAUAUCUCUAACAACUUCCUUCGUCACUCUACCAAAUGGAAGACCAUAUCGAUUAACCCAAAAGGGAUAGUGAUCAAAAUUAUAACAUAUCUCUGGAAUGUCAGGAUCACACUGCUGAAGCACUAGCAGAUAUCUGAUCAUUCAUCAUUUUUGAUCUACUCACAAACUCAUAAAGUUGUAAGAGAGCUACCUCAGCAAAGAAAAAGCAGAGAGGCGUUGAUUUUUCCCACGAACACAGCGAAUCCUUUGCACGACUUGGUGGGUAUCUGGAAUAUGGUUUGGGAUUUUUGAAGAGACAGAGACGUAGAGAUGCCACCUAAUCAGAGUUCUGUUUGAAAAAUAGUCAAACCAGAGGAGUUGUCGGGGAGAUUAAAGAUGGGGCAAGGGAAAACAGAGUACUUGGGUGAAUUGAUCUCCUGCGGGCAAAAGCACCUUUGCGACUAGAUAGGGUAGUUGACUUCUUGGAGUGCGAUGCUUAGGGUUUUUGGUCAAAUGGGAAAGAAGCAGGAAAUUAUGACCAAAAAGAAACAAAAUGUCAUACAACGACGUAAUUAGGGCAGAAAUUGGGCGAUUUAUAAGGGAGUAACAUCAGAGCUAAAGGGAGGAAGAAAACGUUGUAACUAUUGUGGGUUAUGCCAUCGACAAAGAAGAUACAGACAAGAGGAACAGAGAGAGAGUACAAGACAAGGGGAAAGGGGAGUUAUUACAGUGAAAACAGAGGUUAAAGCUCUUCAAGUAAGCUUCUUGAAGGAGAUUUGCUUUGCUAAAUGAUCAAGAGGAGCUACCAUACGGUAGAGAGAAACCCAGAGAGCCUGGGAGAGUGGAGGACAAUCCAACGCGAUCUUUAUCCUAUAAGAAUUAUUGGAAAGGUCAAUUGAUGUAUCAUAUGCAAGAUUGCCAAAUGAUUGUGACAUACGUAUCUUCUCAGAUUACG
rnacentral:lncRNA from 1 species